UACGUAGGUGGCAAGCGUUGUCCGGAUUUAUUGGGCUUAAAGGGUGCGUAGGCGGUUCUAUAAGUCAGAGGUGAAAUACGGCAGCUCAACCGUCGAGGUGCCAUUGAUACUGAAGAACUUGAGUACAGACGAGGUAGGCGGAAUUGACGGUGUAGCGGUGAAAUGCUUAGAUAUCGUCAAGAACACCGAUAGCGAAGGCAGCUUACUAGACUGUAACUGACGCUGAGGCACGAAAGUGUGGGGAUCAAACAGG
rnacentral:rRNA from 1 species